rnacentral:rRNA from 1 species
UGGGGAAUUUUGGGCAAUGGGGGAAACCCUGACCCAGCAACGCCGCGUGAAGGAUGAAGUAUUUCGGUAUGUAAACUUCGAAAGAAUAGGAAGAAUAAAUGACGGUACUAUUUAUAAGGUCCGGCUAACUACGUGCCAGCAGCCGCGGUAAUACGUAGGGACCAAGCGUUGUUCGGAUUUACUGGGCGUAAAGGGCGCGUAGGCGGCAUGACAAGUCACUUGUGAAAUCUCUGGGCUUAACCCAGAACGGCCAAGUGAUACUGUCGCGCUAGAGUGCAGAAGGGGCAAUCGGAAUUCUUGGUGUAGCGGUGAAAUGCGUAGAUAUCAAGAGGAACACCUGAGGUGAAGACGGGUUGCUGGGCUGACACUGACACUGAGGCGCGAAAGCCAGGGGAGCAAACGGGAUUAGAUACCCAUGUAGUCCCUGAGCGGGCUGGCAAGGCGCAU